rnacentral:lncRNA from 1 species
UGUGGCAUCUCUCUGAACCCCCUCGACCGUCCGAGCUUUCGGACUUCUCCGACAAUGAGCUUCACCAUCCAUCUACCGGGCCGCUCCAAAGGCUAUCUAGGCCUCACUAUCAGCCGACCUUCUACAGUGAUCAACUAUUCUCCGAACUUCUUCCGAACUUCGUCAAUAUCUGAGCUUCUUCGAUAAAGAGAUUUCUAUAGCAAUCAGACUUUAUCCAAAUUUCUAU